GUGCAUCAAAGCUGGGACCGAGAGACUGAAAAACAGCUUCUAUCUCAAGGCCAUCAGACUACAUGUUUUGAUGUGAGAGGAUGCCAACCCCCAGUCCCAUCAUCGCCAACUCACCUGCUUUUAAGUUGACCUUUGGGCCGACUAGAGACACUAUUAUGUAAUUGUGAUGAACUGAAAUAAUAUUUAUGUAGCACUGUGAUUCAUUAAUAAUGUGCUGCCUUCCCUGCUCCUUUGAGCUUAACUCUUUCCCUUUCUGUCUUUUACACCUCUCCUUCCACCUCCUCUUUCUUCCUCUGUUUUUAUAAUGCACAACAGAUGUGCAUUGAAGUCCAGAUUGAACUUGUAUUUAUAACAUUUGGAUAAUGAGCUUUUCAAUAAAGCGUUUCACAUUCUCUA